CGCGCGCUGCAGCUGGCGAAGCGUCCGCGCGACGGCGUCGGAAGGUUCGAGUCCUUCGUCGCGCAACCA
rnacentral:tRNA from 1 species